CACGUAGGGCGCAAGCGUUGUCCGGAAUUAUUGGGCGUAAAGAGCUCGUAGGCGGUCUGUUGCGUCUGCUGUGAAAACUCGGGGCUUAACCCCGAGCCUGCAGUGGAUACGGGCAGACUAGAGGUAGGUAGGGGAGAAUGGAAUUCCCGGUGUAGCGGUGAAAUGCGCAGAUAUCGGGAGGAACACCGGUGGCGAAGGCGGUUCUCUGGGCCUUACCUGACGCUGAGGAGCGAAAGCCGUGGGGAGCGAACAGG
rnacentral:rRNA from 1 species